CCUACGGGGGGCUGCAGUGGGGAAUCUUGCGCAAUGGGCGAAAGCCUGACGCAGCGACGCCGCGUGAGCGAUGAAGGCCUUCGGGUUGUAAAGCUCUGUGGGGAGAGAAGAAUAAGGGUUGGCUAACAUCCAACCUGAUGACGGUAUCUCCUUAGCAAGCACCGGCUAACUCUGUGCCAGCAGCCGCGGUAAGACAGAGGGUGCAAACGUUGUUCGGAAUCACUGGUAGGAAGGUUGGUAUGUGGGGCGUGAAAUCCCACGGCUCAACCAUGGAAGUGCAUUCGAAACUGCCAGACUAGAGUCCUGGAGAGGAAGGCGGAAUACUCGGUGUAGAGGUGAAAUUCGUAGAUAUCGAGUGGAACACCGGUGGCGAAGGCGGCCUUCUGGACAGUGACUGACGCUGAAACGCGAAAGCGUGGGGAGCAAACAGGAUUAGAUACCCUAGUAGUC
rnacentral:rRNA from 1 species